AGAGCGAACGCUGGCGGCAGGCCUAACACAUGCAAGUCGAGCGCCCCGCAAGGGGAGCGGCAGACGGGAGAGUAACACGUGGGAACGUACCCUUUGGUUCGGAACAACACAGGGAAACUUGUGCUAAUACCGGAUAAGCCCUUACGGGGAAAGAUUUAUUGCCAAAGGAUCGGCCCGCGUCUGAUUAGCUUGUUGGUGAGGUAACGGCUCACCAAGGCUACGAUCAGUAGCUGGUCUGAGAGGAUGAUCAGCCUCACUGGGACUGAGACACGGCCCAGACUCCUACGGGAGGCAGCAGUGGGGAAUAUUGGACAAUGGGCGCAAGCCUGAUCCAGCCAUGCCGCGUGGAUGAUGAAGGCCUUAGGGUUGUAAAGUCCUUUUAACGGGGAAGAUAAUGACGGUACCGUAGAAUAAGCCCCGGCUAACUUCGUGCCAGCAGCCGC
rnacentral:rRNA from 1 species